rnacentral:rRNA from 1 species
CAGUAGCCACGGUAAUACGUAGGUGGCAAGCGUUGUCCGGAAUUAUUGGGCGUAAAGGGCUCGCAGGCGGUUUCUUAAGUCUGAUGUGAAAGCCCCCGGCUCAACCGGGGAGGGUCAUUGGAAACUGGGAAACUUGAGUGCAGGAGAGAAAAGUGGAAUUCCUAGUGUAGCGGUGAAAUGCGUAGAGAUUAGGAGGAACACCAGUGGCGAAGGCGGCUUUUUGGCCUGUAACUGACACUGAGGCGCGAAAGCGUGGGGAGCAAACAGGAUUAGAGACCCCGGUAGUCCCUGUCUCUUAUAC